UGGGGGAUAUUGCACAAUGAGCGAAAGCCUGAUGCAGCGACGCCGCGUGGGGGAUGAAGGCUUUCGGGUUGUAAACCUCUUUCGCUAUCGAACAAGGCCCGCUUAGGGUGGGUUGAGGGUAGGUGGAGAAGAAGCGCCGGCUAACUACGUGCCAGCAGCCGCGGUAAUACGUAGGGCGCGAGCGUUGUCCGGAAUUAUUGGGCGUAAAGGGCUUGUAGGCGGCUUGUUGCGCCUGCUGUGAAAACGCGGGGCUUAACUUCGCGCGUGCAGUGGGUACGGGCAGGCUUGAGUGUGGUAGGGGUGACUGGAAUUCCAGGUGUAGCGGUGGAAUGCGCAGAUAUCUGGAGGAACACCGAUGGCGAAGGCAGGUCACUGGGCCAUUACUGACGCUGAGGAGCGAAAGCAUGGGUAGCGAACAGG
rnacentral:rRNA from 1 species